rnacentral:rRNA from 1 species
CCAAGCUAUAGAUUGUGCGAUAACACAUUGGAUCCCAUCAUAAAUCCAUAGUUAAACACGUUUGGGCUAGAGUAGUACUGGAAUGGGUGACCUCCUAGAAAAUCCUAGUCUCUUACAUGGC